UUAAUCCGGAAGCAUAGAAAUCUACCGUUCAUAAUCUACUCCACUAAUUCAUUACCUAGGGAGAGAAAGUUGUUGUUGUGGCUUUAGCUGUGCCCAUAACUGCUGCACUGGUUGUUUUCUCUUUCUGCUUAUGUUAUCUGUGGCCGAAACUCAAAAGCAAAGUGUUAAGGGGAGCGCAUCAAAAUCUGUUGCUACUCGAUUUGAAUCAAAAUAGUCGCAAAGUAGAGAGAAACAGCCAUUAUGAGCUGCCGACGUUCAGUUUUUCUAGCAUUGUCGCGGCAACUAACAACUUCUCUGAUGCAAACAAGUUGGGGGAGGGUGGGUUUGGACCGGUUUAUAAGGGAGAGCUGCUCAAUGGGCAACUUCAAUGAGCUGCUCAAAAAUUCAAGUGCCUCCAAGCUUGCAUUAGAAAAUUCUUCAUAAUUAUAAAGAUGGUAAAGUUGAAAAUUAUGAUAAAUAAAAUUUUAUUUCUAUGAUUUAGUCGCACCUUGAUUAAAAUUUAUUCAUUCAAGAAGUGGGGCGUGGGG